GAGCGAACGUUGGCGGCAGGCCUAACACAUGCAAGUCAAAGGAGAAGCAGGACUUCGGUCUUGUGGACACUGGCGCACGGGUGAGUAACGCGUGGGAACCUACCUCAAGGUACGGAACAACCGCUGGAAACGGCGGCUAAUACCGUAUGUGCCCUUCGGGGGAAAGAUUUAUCGCCUUGAGAUGGGCCCGCGUCCGAUUAGCUUGUUGGUGAGGUAAAGGCUCACCAAGGCGACGAUCGGUAGCUGGUCUGAGAGGAUGAUCAGCCACACUGGGACUGAGACACGGCCCAGACUCCUACGGGAGGCAGCAGUGGGGAAUAUUGGACAAUGGGCGAAAGCCUGAUCCAGCCAUGUCGCGUGAAUGAAGAAGGCCUUAGGGUUGUAAAGUUCUUUCAGCGGGGAAGAUGAUGACGGUACCCGCAGAAGAAGCCCCGGCUAACUCCGUGCCAGCAGCCGCGGUAAUACGGAGGGGGCUAACGUUGCUCGGAAUUACUGGGCGUAAAGGGCGUGUAGGCGGAUUGUCUAGUCAGGCGUGAAAGCCCCGGGCUUAACCUGGGAACUGCGCUUGAUACUGACAGUCUAGAGUCCGGAAGAGGGUGGUGGAAUUCCCAG
rnacentral:rRNA from 1 species